UACGUAGGGGGCAAGCGUUGUCCGGAAUCAUUGGGCGUAAAGAGCGCGUAGGCGGUCCGGUAAGUCGGUUGUGAAAGUCGGGGGCUCAACCCUCGGAUGCCGAUCGAUACUGUCGGGCUAGAGUCCGGAAGAGGCGAGUGGAAUUCCUGGUGUAGCGGUGAAAUGCGCAGAUAUCAGGAGGAACACCAAUGGCGAAGGCAGCUCGCUGGGACGGUACUGACGCUGAGACGCGAAAGCGUGGGGAGCGAACAGG
rnacentral:rRNA from 1 species